CGGAUUUUAGGUAUUCUUUGUAAUUUUAAUUCCCAUAAUUUAGUUUAAAUGCAGACAUUUUUUCCACUAAAAUCUUAAAUAAAACAUUACAGUACGAUAUAUGCAAAUCAGAAGAGCUUUAAGAUUUUGUAGAAGCAGGCUACAGUUUCUUUUGAAUUUUUAUUCAUUUUUAUUUUUAUGACUUUAUUUCAUUUUUUUUAUUUUUAAAGUUUUGAAGGACCGGACAGUUAAGUAGCAGUAAACAGUAAAAAAGACAACACAGAGCUGUAAAGCCUGCAGGCCAGCCAAGGAGCACAUUCUAUUACAAAACAGACCAGAAAACUAGAGACAGCACGCCACAUCCAGAUGAAGGUCUGAACUGAAGCCCCCUCCGCCUCCGUCAGGUGGUGCUGGUUCCACGCGAACAGGAGGGGGCGCUAUUACACCGGGGCAGGUGGAGCUACACGACCACAAAGUGACAGCAAUGUAGUUGCACCUUCACAAGAAACAGCUUGUAUUGCACAUUCAGGGAGAAAGAAAUGGCACAUUGUGUUGAGUUUUUCUCUACAAAAAGGUUAUUAAACAGUUAUAAUGCAGUAGAAGCACAGUAACUCCCUCAAUGGCAAUCACACCACUCACUGGUUUAUACUGAUCAGCUGAAACGCUCUGGUCUAAAAUGCUGCUGUCCCUCUCUACAGGGAGGGAAAGUGUCCGACUACGCCAUCAGCUGGCUGCAUUUGCACUUGAGCAAUUUUUAGAUUUUUAAUUUUUUACAUUUCUACCAAAACAUGAGCUAAAAAUGCAUCUAAAUGUAGUUGAAUGUAAACUGCACUUGAUAUUUAGGCUCAAUAAAGUCCGACUUCUUAAUAUGAAGACACAAUUUUAGGCCACAAUUAAAAAAGUUGUAGUUGUUCCACAUACGGCUUAAGUAGUUGUGUUUCGAUCUGUUCUUCUCUCACUUUUAGAGAAAGACAGAACAUAUGAUCUUGCACUAAAUGGUCUGUUUAAACCAGUUUUGUUAAAGCCGCUUAGCUGAGUGUUGUAGCGUGAAACUCUUUGCAAAGAGUUUUUAGUCCAAACAUGAUUUUUCUUUUUGAAAUCUGAAUAAAGGCUUUAUCUGAAAAGCAUUACUAGACUAAUAUGUUCCACGUAGCCUUUGUCGUUUUGAAUUAAAUGUAAUCAUUUAAGCCCAACGCUGCCACCAGAUGGCGAUUUUCUCUUUCCCUCCCCAUCUUGAGCAGUGCAUCCCUUUUGGCCUAUCAGGACUGAGAAUGCAUGGAAUAACAAAAAAAUGACAGUGUGAGUCACAAAAGGAGGCUGCAGAGCAUAGUGAAGACGUUCAAACCUUGUAUCUGAAGGGUGCCGGGCGACCUCGCACCAUCUACAAAAAAAUGUCUUUUGUCAGUCUUCUAAAAGUUGGUCACAUAAUUACUCAUGUUUUAUGUUCAUAUCUUAAUCAAAUGGGUUUGUGUUACAGUUUUAGAUAGUAACAGGGGAACUCUUUCUUUUAGCCAUGGAUAAAUACACUGCUAAUUACAGCACCAGCCGUCUUGAGACUUUAACUGCACUCAAAUGGCUAAUGGGAACUGCAGUUGUUGAAUGCUAUUAUUGUGCUUGGUAUGGCUAAAAUU
ensembl:lncRNA